GCCUGGUUGGCUCAGUGGUUGAGCGUCUGCCUUCGGCUCAGGGCGUGACCCUGGGGUACUGGGAUCGAGUCCCACAUCGGGCU
rnacentral:tRNA from 1 species